AUGCCAAGUAUAGCUGGAGGGAGAUCCAUAAUAACUCCAAUUGCUGCCAGGCAAUUCAGGAGCUCUCCGGCCAUGGUUGAGAUCCAGAAGACGCUCAUUACAAACGAUAUGAGGGUACUUGCAAUGUUCUCUGUUUCUGGUGAUUCUUUCUCAAAGCGGAAGUGGGAUAGAGCCAAACAAAAGCUAACCAGAAGAACAACAGACCAGAGGGGGAAGCGGAUUUGA
rnacentral:rRNA from 1 species